UAGGGAAUCUUCGGCAAUGGACGAAAGUCUGACCGAGCAACGCCGCGUGAGUGAAGAAGGUUUUCGGAUCGUAAAACUCUGUUGUUAGAGAAGAACAAGGACGUUAGUAACUGAACGUCCCCUGACGGUAUCUAACAAGAAAGCCACGGCUAACUACGUGCCAGCAGCCGCGGUAAUACGUAGGUGGCAAGCGUUGUCCGGAUUUAUUGGGCGUAAAGCGAGCGCAGGCGGUUUCUUAAGUCUGAUGUGAAAGCCCCCGGCUCAACCGGGGAGGGUCAUUGGAAACUGGGAGACUUGAGUGCAGAAGAGGAGAGUGGAAUUCCAUGUGUAGCGGUGAAAUGCGUAGAUAUAUGGAGGAACACCAGUGGCGAAGGCGGCUCUCUGGUCUGUAACUGACGCUGAGGCUCGAAAGCGUGGGGAGCAAACAGG
rnacentral:rRNA from 2 species